rnacentral:lncRNA from 1 species
CUGGUCAUUAAACUAGCCACCACCUGGUCAUUAAACUAGCCACCACCUGGUCAUUAAACUAAACCACCUGGUCAUUAAACUAGCCACCACCUGGUCAUUAAACUAGCCACCACCUGGUCAUUAAACUAAACCACCUGGUCAUUAAACUAGCCACCACCUGGUCAUUAAACUAAACCACCUGGUCAUUAAACUAGCCACCACCUGGUCGUUAAACUAGCCACCACCUGGUCAUUAAACUAGCCACCACCUGGUCGUUAAACUAGCCACCAUCUGGUCAUUAAACUAGCCACCACCUGGUCAUUAAACUAGCCACCACCUGGUCAUUAAACUAGCCACCACCUGGUCAUUAAACUAAACCACCUGGUCAUUAAACUAGCCACCACCUGGUCAUUAAACUAGCCACCACCUGGUCAUUAAACUAAACCACCUGGUCAUUAAACUAGCCACCACCUGGUCAUUAAACUAGCCACCACCUGGUCAUUAAACUAGCCACCACCUGGUCAUUAAACUAGCCACUACCUGGUCAUUAAACUAAACCACCUGGUCAUUAAACUAAACCCCCUGGUCAUUAAACUAGCCACCACCUGGUCAUUAAACUAGCCACCACCUGGUCAUUAAACUAGCCACUACCUGGUCAUUAAACUAAACCACCUGGUCAUUAAACUAGCCACCACCUGGUCAUUAAACUAGCCACCACCUGGUCAUUAAACUAGCCACCACCUGGUCAUUAAACUAGCCACCACCUGGUCAUUAAACUAGCCACCACCUGGUCAUUAAACUAAACCACCUGGUCAUUAAACUAGCCACCACCUGGUCAUUAAACUAGCCACCACCUGGUCAUUAAACUAGCCACCACCUGGUCGUUAAACUAGCCACCACCUGGUCAUUAAACUAAACCACCUGGUCAUUAAACUAGCCACCACCUGGUCAUUAAACUAGCCACCACCUGGUCAUUAAACUAAACCACCUGGUCAUUAAACUAAACCACCUGGUCAUUAAACUAAACCACCUGGUCAUUAAACUAGCCACCACCUGGUCAUUAAACUAAACCACCUGGUCAUUAAACUAAACCACCUGGUCGGGACCAGGUACAUACAGGCCAGGUUAGGACCAGGUACAUACAGGUCAGGACCAGGUACAUACAGGUCAGGUCAGGACCAGGUACGUACAGGUCAGAACCAGGUACAUACAGGUCAGGUCAGGACCAGGUACAUACAGGUCAGGACCAGGUACAUACAGGUCAGGACCAGGUACAUACAGGUCAGGACCAGGUACAAACAGGUCAGGACCAGGUACAUACAGGUCAGGUUAGGACCAGGUACAUACAGGUCAGGACCAGGUACAAACAGGUUAGGACCAGGUACAUACAGGUCAGGACCAGGUACAUACAGGUCAGGUUAGGACCAGGUACAUACAGGUCAGGACCAGGUACAUACAGGUCAGGACCAGGUACAUACAGAUCAGGACCAGGUACAUACAGGUCAGGACCAGGUACAUACAGGUCAGGUCAGGACCAGGUACAAACAGGUGAGGACCAGGUACAUACAGGUCAGGACCAGGUACAAACAGGUCAGGACCAGGUACAAACAGGUCAGGUCAGGACCAGGUACAAACAGGUCAGGACCAGGUACAUACAGGUCAGGUCAGGACCAGGUACAUACAGGUCAGGACCAGGUACAUACAGGUCAGGACCAGGUACAAACAGGUCAGGACCAGGUACAUACAGGUCAGGACCAGGUACAUACAGGUCAGUACCAGGUACAUACAGGUCAGGUUAGGACCAGGUACAUACAGGUCAGGACCAGGUACAUACAGGUCAGGACCAGGUACAAACAGGUCAGGACCAGGUACAAACAGGUCAGGACCAGGUACAUACAGGUCAGGACCAGGUACAAACAGGUCAGGACCAGGUACAUACAGGUCAGGACCAGGUACAUACAGGUCAGGACCAGGUACAUACAGGUUAGGACCAGGUACAUACAGGUCAGGUUAGGACCAGGUACAUACAGGUCAGGACCAGGUACAAACAGGUCAGGACCAGGUACGUACAGGUCAGGACCAGGUACAUACAGGUCAGGUCAGGACCAGGUACAUACAGGUCAGGACCAGGUACAUACAGGUCAGGACCAGGUACAUACAGGUCAGGACCAGGUACAUACAGGUCAGGUCAGGACCAGGUACAUACAGGUCAGGACCAGGUACAUACAGGUCAGGUCAGGACCAGGUACGUACAGGUCAGGACCAGGUACAUACAGGUCAGGUUAGGACCAGGUACAUACAGGUCAGGUCAGGACCAGGUACAUACAGGUCAGGACCAGGUACAGGUAGUGCUAAACAGAUGGAACCAUUCUCCAGACCGGCUGUAUGUUGACGUCAUGGAGAUAGCAUAGAGAUACGUUAACGUUUAUGAUUGACAGAUGAAACAGACUGAGGUGGUUGUGCAGGUCAGGUCCUGAUGAGCAGAUAGAAACCACAUCUCAGCAGACUGUAUAGGGCCACUCAGGGUCUAUCCAGGGUGACCAUGACACAUUUAGGCCCAGUUCCCUCCUUUGACUAUGUUUUUUAAAAUUUUAUUAGUCUAGGACAAUGUUUAAUCAGUGUCCAGGAAACUGGCCUUUUUUUGUUUGUUUUAGGUGUGACCAAUGGCAAUAACAUUUAACACUUAUUGAGGAUGUCCAUGUUGACUCAAUACACUAGGAGUUAAUAUAAUAAAUAGUAAUUCAUAUAAAUAAUUAAUAAAAAUAGGUCUGGUCAACCAUUUAUGAUGUUUUGUUUUGAGGAAGAAUUAGGACUCUUUUUACCUGUUGUCUUUCGUCAAUCUCUGAUUGUACAUUUGAGUGUAAAUAAAUCAAACACACACAGCAGAAAGCAUGUUUUCCGUCUUUACUCUUCCUUUCCCUUCCUUUCCCUUCCUUCCUUCCUUCCUUCCUUCCUUCCUUCCUUCCUUCCUUCCUUCCUUCCUUCCUUCCUUCCUUCCUUCCUUCCUUCCUUCCUUCCUUCCUUCCUUCCUUCCUUCCUUCCUUCCUUCCUUCCUUCCUUCCUUCCACUCUCUCUUUCUCUUCUCUCCUUACCUUUUUUUUGUAAUGGUCAUCUGUAACCAGUAGCAUAGAAGCAUAGAAGCGCUAGAAACAAACGAGGAAUGGAAUAAUACACAUGUACUGUCUGUAAAAAAACAUAUGUCUUUCUUGGCACUUUCCCCUGGGAUAUGAAGCUAAUAAACACUAUUAUAAAAGAA